rnacentral:rRNA from 1 species
GAUGAACGCUAGCUACAGGCUUAACACAUGCAAGUCGAGGGGAAACGAUAUUGGAAGCUUGCUUCCGAUAGGCGUCGACCGGCGCACGGGUGAGUAACGCGUAUCCAACCUGCCCACCACUUGGGAAUAACCUUGCGAAAGUAAGACUAAUGCCCAAUGAUAUCUCUAGAAGACAUCUGAAAGAGAUUAAAGAUUUAUCGGUGAUGGAUGGGGAUGCGUCUGAUUAGCUUGUUGGCGGGGUAACGGCCCACCAAGGGGACGAUCAGUAGGGGUUCUGAGAGGAAGGUCCCCCACAAUGGAACUGAGACGCGGUCCAAACUCCUACGGGAGGCAGCAGUGAGGAAUAUUGGUCAAUGGGCGAGAGCCUGAACCAGCCAAGUAGCGUGCAGGAUGACGGCCCUAUGGGUUGUAAACUGCUUUUAUAAGGGAAUAAAGUGAGCCUCGUGAGGCUUUUUGCAUGUACCUUAUGAAUAAGGACCGGCUAAUUCCGUGCCAGCCGCCGCAGUAA